CCUACGGGAGGCAGCAGUGGGGAAUAUUGCACAAUGGGCGGAAGCCUGAUGCAGCGACGCCGCGUGAGGGAUGAAGGCCUUCGGGUUGUAAACCUCUUUCAGCAGGGACGAAGCGUGAGUGACGGUACCUGCAGAAGAAGCACCGGCUAACUACGUGCCAGCAGCCGCGGUAAUACGUAGGGUGCGAGCGUUGUCCGGAAUUACUGGGCGUAAAGAGUUCGUAGGCGGUUUGUCGCGUCGUUUGUGAAAACCCGGGGCUCAACUUCGGGCUUGCAGGCGAUACGGGCAGACUUGAGUGUUUCAGGGGAGACUGGAAUUCCUGGCGUAGCGGUGAAAUGCGCAGAUAUCAGGAGGAACACCGGUGGCGAAGGCGGGUCUCUGGGAAACAACUGACGCUGAGGAACGAAAGCGUGGGUAGCAAACAGGAUUAGAUACCCUGGUAGUCCACGCCGUAAACGGUGGCGCUAGGUGUGGGUUCCUUCCACGGGAUCUGUGCCGUAGCUAACGCAUUAAGCGCCCGCCUGGGGAGUACGGCCGCAAGGCUAAAACUCAAAUGAAUUGACGGCUGAGAGNGCGAGACGACGACGAGGGAGGAGG
rnacentral:rRNA from 1 species